ensembl:snoRNA
GUGCAUCUACUUGACAGACCUGGGGCAGUUACUGUCUGCUAAGAUUUCUACUACAGAUGCAAGAAAAAAGUGUCCUCACGCUUUCUGUCUGUCUGAUUGUGUUGUGGCAGCCCAGAUUGAAUGGGGGAAUACAGGG